AGGCUCAUAGCUCAGCAGGUUAGAGCGCGUGCCUGAUAAGCACGAGGUCGGUGGUUCGAGUCCACUUGGGCCUACCA
rnacentral:tRNA from 2 species